rnacentral:rRNA from 1 species
UACGGUAGGGGGCAAGCGUUGUCCGGAUUUAUUGGGCGUAAAGAGCGUGUAGGCGGCCAGAUAGGUCUGUUGUGAAAACUCGAGGCUCAACCUCGAGACGCCGAUGGAAACCAUCUGGCUAGAGUCCGGAAGAGGAGAGUGGAAUUCCUGGUGUAGCGGUGGAAUGCGCAGAUAUCAGGAAGAACACCCGUGGCGAAGGCGGCUCUCUGGAACGCAACUGACGCUGAGACGCGAAAGCGUGGGGAGCAAACAGG